rnacentral:tRNA from 1 species
GAGAUUUUAGUAAAAUAAUUACAAGGCCUUGUCAUGACCUAAUCGCCAGUUUGAACCUGACAUAUCUUAC